CAGACUUCCUGAUAAUGAAGGUCUGACAUAUGAAGAGGGGAAAAGGAUCAUUUUAGAUGGACAAACCUUGAUGAAUUCAGACGAUUCCAAAAGAAGAGCAGAUUGCUACCCAUAAAACUAAACAGCAUCAAUGUGGAAUUACUGGAAGAAUCCAAAAGUCUUUGCAGAAAUGGCUAUUUAGUGGCAUAACAUCAACAGUAAGAAAAACACUGGAUACACAGACUUCCACCUUAUCCUUAUGGGCAUGUCCAAGCAAGUCUGAACUGAUGACAGACGAUGUGCAGCAAAGCAGAAUGAGCCCCAAGGCAUAGCUGAGGCUCCAGACAUCUAAGAGGACCCAGUGAGUUCAGAAAAUUCACCCAGUUUAACAUAUCUGACUGUAAAAGCAUGAGUGAUCUUUCCAAUUACAGCUUCUUGUUGAUUGCUAAGUCAUGUCCGACUCUUUGCAC